UACGAAGGGUGCAAGCGUUAAUCGGAAUUACUGGGCGUAAAGAGCUCGUAGGCGGUCUGUCGCGUCGGCUGUGAAAACCCGGAGCUCAACUCCGGGCCUGCAGUCGAUACGGGCAAACUGGAGUGUUGCAGGGGAGACUGGAAUUCCUGGUGUAGCGGUGAAAUGCGUAGAGAUCGGCAGGAACACCCAGGGAGAAAUCAGCCGCCUGGGCAAGUGCUGACGCUGAGGUGCGAAAGCGUGGGGAGCGAACCGG
rnacentral:rRNA from 1 species